UACGUAGGGGGGCAAGCGUUGUCCGGAAUCAUUGGGCGUAAAGCGCGUGUAGGCGGCCAGGUAAGUCCGUUCUGAAAGCCCGGGGCUCAACCCCGGGAGGCGGAUGGAUACUGCUUGGCUCGAGUCCGGAAGAGGCGAGUGGAAUUCCCGGUGUAGCGGUGAAAUGCGCAGAUAUCGGGAGGAACACCAAUGGCGAAGGCAACUCGCUGGGACGGUACUGACGCUGAGACGCGAAAGCGUGGGGAGCAACAGG
rnacentral:rRNA from 1 species